GGCUGGGUGAAGGGGGCAGGCGAGAGCUAGAUUCCUGCUCUCCUGAAAGCCUCGGAGGCCCAGAGCGGGGAGCAGCGGGCCUGCAACCUGGGAACCCUGAAAGGAAGCGGGUCCUCUGUAAGAUGGGGCUGCAUCCCUGCCCCGCUCCCAGCAGCAUGGGGUCAGAGAUGGGGGGGGUCUCCCUGUGUCAUCCAGGCUGGUCUCGAUCUCCUGGACUCAAGCCAUCCUCCUGUGUCUGCCUCCCAAAGUGCUAGGAUUACAGGCAGGAGCCACCACGCCCAGCCCGUCGUCUUCUAAUUUAACAGAAAGAGGAAAUGCAAAAACUGAGGCUCAGGGGAGUGAAGUGACCCAUCCAAGGUCACACAGCUUGUCCGUGGCAGAGCUGGGUUUCAACCCCAGGGAGAAACCAAUGCAGUGCUGCACAUCCAAUCACUAUUGAGUGCUUCUCCUUCGUCCGUAACGUUCAGCACGGAGAACGGUGCCUGGCACAUAGUAGGUGCUUAAUAAAACGUGCUGAAUGAAUCGUC